CCUACUUGGAUAACUGUGGCAAUUCUAGAGCUAAUACAUGCUUACCAAGCUCCGACCUUUAUUGGAAAGAGCGCUUUUAUUAGUUCAAAACCAAUCGCCGCCGCGGCUCGCGCCGUGGCGGCGUCCCCAUUGGUGACUCUGGAUAACUUUGUGCUGAUCGCAUGGCCUUCGUGCCGGCGACGCAUCUUUCAAAUGUCUGCCCUAUCAAAUGUCGAUGGUACGUGAUAUGCCUACCAUGUUUGU
rnacentral:rRNA from 1 species